rnacentral:rRNA from 1 species
UACAGAGGGGGCAAGCGUUGUCCGGAAUUACUGGGCGUAAAGGGCGCGUAGGCGGCCUGCUAAGUCGAACGUGAAAUCCCCGAGCUCAACUCGGGAACUGCGUCCGAUACUGGCAGGCUUGAAUCCGGGAGAGGGAUGCGGAAUUCCAGGUGUAGCGGUGAAAUGCGUAGAUAUCUGGAGGAACACCGGUGGCGAAGGCGGCAUCCUGGACCGGCAUUGACGCUGAGGCGCGAAAGCGUGGGGGAGCAAACAGGG